UACGUAGGGGCCGAGCGUUGUCCGGAGUUAUUGGGCGUAAAGCGCGCGCAGGCGGCUUCGCGCGUCCGACGUGAAAGCCCCCGGCUUAACCGGGGAGGGUCGUUGGGUACGGCGGAGCUUGAGGGCGGGAGAGGGUGGUGGAAUUCCCGGUGUAGUGGUGAAAUGCGUAGAGAUCGGGAGGAACACCUGUGGCGAAGGCGGCCACCCUGG
rnacentral:rRNA from 1 species